CGUGAUAUGGUUUUUUAUCUAUUAUUUCUUUAUUAUAAUCAAGGAUACAUAACGUAAGGGACAUAUUACGAAUAGUUAUUGAAUAAAUUCAAAAGGGUAACAAAUAACAUGACCAUUAGGAAGUAAUUUCAAAUUUAUAGUCAAUCCUUAAUUUUAAAUGUUGUGAAUUGACACAAAAACAAUCUCCAAUAAAAAUCAAGAGAAGGAGGAAUGCCCAAUUUUUUUUUUUACAUACUAUAUAGAGUCAAACCUCUAUCUAACGGACUAAUAGAGAGAAGAGGGUGUCCGUUAAAACCGAUAGUUCGUUACAGGCAGUGCGUUCCAGCAGCAUCCCCCCCAAUAAUGCAGAUAAUUUCUCUUUGCUUAUUUUCUUCAAAGGGAUGUUUUCUUCAUUCCAAAAUGCUUGUUUAUUCUUCAUCACCAACCUUCAAAACAAAGUGGGUUGAUCAGCGUUAUAAACUUGAUUUAAAUGCAAGUCUUUUUUCUUAAUUGUUUAAUUUGAUUUAGGCCUAUAAGGUUCUAUUACACUGUAAACCUCCUGCAAGUUGCAUCCGAAAUCCGUUGUAGCAGGGUCUAUUAUAUCUUUAACUUUAUAUUUCAUAGACAUAUUAUUCAGAUCAAUUAUAGGCUUGGUAUUCAAAUUUCUGGGAGGAGUUGAGGUAGCCAAGAAUGCUAAAUAUAGUCCAGAACCUUCAUUUCAUUUAUGAUGCUUAAUUUGGGUCCUACGUGGAUCUAGUGCGUUUAUCUUGCUAAACUCUAACUUCUACUGAAUAUAGAUAGAAUAUAGAUCCUCCAUAUAUAGGAACUUUUGUUUUUAUACUUAAUCUCUUCAGCUUUACCAUGAAGUAGCAAGAGGGAUGAUUAAAAGGAAUUACAGAAUUGUCUAAUACUGGUAACGAUGCUAAGGCAAUAAUAAAAUUCACUAAAAAUGACGGAAGCACCGUCUAUGACGUCAGCAAGCAACUGAAGGUUGGUGAGGGGCUUUUUCCAUUUCUCAUGUGGUUUACACAAAGCCAAAAAGCAGACUGGCCACUUCCUGGCUAUGUGGUCCGUCAAAAGAUUCCUGGCAUCUCAAUUACUGCUCAUGAUUGGAGAAUGUAUAUGGGGAAGGCGUCACCUUCUUACAACGAAGAUGAAGGAUAUCAUGUCGCUAAGAGGCAAGAACCUCUGCCAAUUUGUAAAUCAAAUCUAGGGAUCAUAAAGCUAUUCAGUGAUGAGUCAAACUUUACUUUGGGCUCUGCCUACAACCCAAAGAAUGACCACUGACUUGGAGAGGACAGAGGUAAUAUUCCUCUUUGAUGAAGACCAAGUUCCUGUGCAAGAUAAUUGUAUUUAGUUUGAAUUGAAUUGCAUUCCGGUUCACAUUUUUGAAAACGGCCUCAAGUUAACCUCCUCAGUGUACGUGGACCUUCUUAAGUAUAUUAUGAUGUCAUGGCUGGAAGUCAUAUAUACUCGAGAUACAAGGUUCAUGUGGAUUCAAGACUCAGUGCCUUGUCAUGUUGCCAAAACUGGCAUGCAUUAGCAAGUCAUUAUCAAAGCUAUUGAGUGGCCUUCCAAUAGCCCGACGUUAACCCGUGUGGUUUCUAGUUGUAGUCAGAGAAGGAAAAUAAACGAACAUCCUCAUAGCUCCUUGAGAUCCCUGAAGCUCCUUGUGAAGAGGAACAUGCCUGCUUCAACAAGAAAGAAGUAAUAAAGGCCUGCUCAGCCUUUAUAUUCUGUUUACAGCUGGUGAUCAAUGUAGUAAUUUAUCACAUUGAAUUAUACAACAGCUAAUUGUUCAAUUUAAAUUUCAUAUGUAAUAAAUGUUGUCCUAAAAUGCCAUCUACUAUUAUUCAAACUUACUUGAUCAUAUUGUCAGGAUACUUCUGCCCACCCCUAUAUAUGGCGGAUUUCAAAAUAAAAUCUAUCAAUUUCUAA
rnacentral:lncRNA from 1 species